AUGCGAUAAGUAAUGUGAAUUGCAGAAUUCAGUGAAUCAUCGAAUCUUUGAACGCAUCUUGCGCUCCUUGGUACUCCAUGGAGCAUGCCUGUUUGAGUGUCACGUAAACCCUCACCCUUGCGAUGUAACAGUCGUUCGCGGUGGACUUGGACCGUGCCGUAGUUGGCUCGUCCUGAAAUGCAUUAGCUGGUGCUUUUAGAGUGCUGGGCGACGGUGUGAUAAUUAUCUGCGCCAAUGCCCUGGGCCUCUUCAGCGGUGCCGCUUACAGUCGUCCCCAGAGGACAACGUAUCUAAAGCUUUGGCCUCAAAUCAGGUAGGAUUACCCGCUGAACUUAA
rnacentral:misc_RNA from 1 species